CAGGGAGACAACAAAAUGUUAAAUAUUAAUUUUGUCACCUUAGGUCGAUCGGUAUCUCAUGUUCUUAAUUACUUUAAGAAUUUCAUUUCCUAAGUUUUUUCUAGGUCACACCCAUUAUUUUUCCUGGGCCAUUAGCUCAGGUGGUUAGAGCGCACCCCUGAUAAGGGUGAGGUCCCUGGUUCAAGUCCAGGAUGGCCCAUAUCUCUAUGUUGGGGGUAUAGCUCAGUUGGUAGAGCGCCUGCUUUGCAAGCAGGAUGUCAGCGGCUCGAGUCCGCUUACCUCCACUGAUUACCACCUCUUCCAUAACCGGUAGUAAAGGAAAUGUUUUGAGUUGUGAUCAAAUUCUGAAAGAAUCUAGCUUCCUAAUGAAAUCAUUAAGAUGCUGGACUCAUUGAAUUAAUUUCAUUGUUUUCAGAGAACCUUGACAACUGCAUAGAUUAUUUUUAAAGACAAUAAGCAUCUUUAAUGAUGCAGAUUUAUUAUUUGUGCGAAUGCAUUAAUAACAAUUCUAUUAAGCUGAUGCUUCAAUUUUUGAAGUUAUU
rnacentral:tRNA from 1 species